UCCCGGUCUACAGAUGCACAUAAGGCUAGUUAGCAACAUAGCACUGAAUCAGAAAAAAAGAGACUUGUUUCUCUGAGUAAAAAAAUAAUAUCUCACUCUUUUUCUGAGCACAUUCUAAAGUAGCUGCUCACAGGAAAAAGGCAUCAUGGAUAGCUCCACAUCAGUGUCGACUGGGAUAGCCGUGGCGUUUGGGAUCUUGGGAUUGUUCCUGCUGGUCUGUUUUGUGCAGAUCUGCAUCAAGAAAAUCAAAUGUUGCAAGCGCAAAAAGCCUUCAGUAAAAGACAACAUUUUAAAGAAAGUUGGGAUUAAGAAACCUUCGCCUCCAUUUUCGAUCAGCAGAAUCGUUGACAAGAAAUAACGCCUGUCACUACUCACAUUUCAUUCUCAACGCCUAUAAACAUUGUACAUACACCCUGACAGAAUCUAAUUUAGUUGAUUUCUUUUUAUUCAUAACACUUGUAACUGUAAUCGUAACUGUAAUUAUUUCCAUAUUGUUAUGUAAAUCUUUCAAAUAAUUUAUUUUUUCUUUCUGUGAAAAGUGUGAAUCAUGUUUCUGGGGUGAAGGUGUUAGCGAUGAGGAUGUUGAUGAUUCAUAACAGGUUAAGAUAAUUUUCCCACAGUUAGGGAAAAGCAGUACACCUUUAUUGCUUUUGCGAUCACUUCUUUUGUUGUUUUUCUCAUUCUCUGACUCAAAUUUUGUCUCCGUAUCAGUCUUACCACAAAAACACAGCGAAGCUUUUUUUUCAAGCUUUUCAAGCCAAACUGUUUCCACAUAAAAUUACGUCAAAGGUCAUCAUAUACACUGACAAAAGAUGAAGCUCUUCAGUCUCAGAAAAAAAAAAAAAAAAAAAAAAAAAAUCACAAA